ACUGUUUACGUAAGCGGGUUUGGCGGGCACUGUCUCCGAGGUCUGCGUUUCUGACAGCUGCAGAAAGCUUGCUUUAGCAACUAUUAUCAGACCAAUUUAGCCUGACAGCCGAUGGCUGGAAUGUAUUACUAGACACCAGAGGAAGGAGAGACAGCCCUGGAGCCCGUGCACUGGCUGGUUUUUUGUGAUGAAUGGGAGCAGAAACGACUAAUAAAUUUGAUGUGAUUGAAUCAUCACCCCUGAACCUCGACUCCA